AGCGAACGCUGGCGGCGUGCCUAACACAUGCAAAUCGAACGUGAAAAGGGGCAACCCUGAGUAAAGUGGCGUACGGGUGAGUAACACGUAGGUAAUCUACCUCGAAGUCUGGAAUAACCUGCCGAAAGGCGGGCUAAUACUGGAUAGUGCGAUGGAAUCCGUAAUUGGGUUUCUCGGGAAAGGGAGCUCGCAAGAGCCUUCACUUUUGAGAUGAGCCUGCGUCCCAUUAGUUAGUUGGUAGGGAAUGGCCUACCAAGGCUUUGAUGGGUAGCUGGUCUGAGAGGAUGAUCAGCCACACUGGAACUGAACACGGUCCAGACUCCUACGGGAGGCAGCAGUGGGGAAUCUUGCGCAAUGGACGAAAGUCUGACGCAGCCACGCCGCGUGAGUGAAGAAGGCCUC
rnacentral:rRNA from 1 species